rnacentral:rRNA from 1 species
AUUGAACGCUGGCGGCAUGCUUUACACAUGCAAGUCGAACGGUAACAGGUUAAGCUGACGAGUGGCGAACGGGUGAGUAACAUAUCGGAACGUAUCCAAUAAUGGGGGAUAACGAGUCGAAAGAUUCGCUAAUACCGCAUACGCCCUACGGGGGAAAGCUGGGGACCUUCGGGCCUGGCGUUAAUGGAGCGGCCGAUAUCUGAUUAGCUAGUUGGUGAGGUAAAGGCUCACCAAGGCGACGAUCAGUAGCUGGUCUGAGAGGACGACCAGCCACACUGGAACUGAGACACGGUCCAGACUCCUACGGGAGGCAGCAGUGGGGAAUUUUGGACAAUGGGCGCAAGCCUGAUCCGGCCAUUCCGCGUGAGUGAAGAAGGCCUUCGGGUUGUAAAGCUCUUUCGCAAGGGAAGAAAACUUAGCCACUAACAUUGGUUGAGGUUGACGGUACCUUGAUAAGAAGCACCGGCUAACUACGUGCCAGCAGCCGCGGUAA